rnacentral:rRNA from 1 species
UCCGUAGGGUGAACCUGCGGAAGGAUCAUUACCGAGUGCGGGUCCUUUGGGCCCAACCUCCCAUCCGUGUCUAUUGUACCCUGUUGCUUCGGCGGGCCCGCCGCUUGUCGGCCGCCGGGGGGGCGCCUCUGCCCCCCGGGCCCGUGCCCGCCGGAGACCCCAACACGAACACUGUCUGAAAGCGUGCAGUCUGAGUUGAUUGAAUGCAAUCAGUUAAAACUUUCAACAAUGGAUCUCUUGGUUCCGGCAUCGAUGAAGAACGCAGCGAAAUGCGAUAACUAAUGUGAAUUGCAGAAUUCAGUGAAUCAUCGAGUCUUUGAACGCACAUUGCGCCCCCUGGUAUUCCGGGGGGCAUGCCUGUCCGAGCGUCAUUGCUGCCCUCAAGCCCGGCUUGUGUGUUGGGUCGCCGUCCCCCUCUCCGGGGGGACGGGCCCGAAAGGCAGCGGCGGCACCGCGUCCGAUCCUCGAGCGUAUGGGGCUUUGUCACAUGCUCUGUAGGAUUGGCCGGCGCCUGCCGACGUUUUCCAACCAUUCUUCCAGGUGACCUCGGAUCAGGUAGGA